CGGGGAAUUUUGGACAAUGGGCGAAAGCCUGAUCCAGCAAUGCCGCGUGUGUGAAGAAGGCCUUCGGGUUGUAAAGCACUUUUGUCCGGAAAGAAAUCCUUGGCUCUAAUACAGUCGGGGGAUGACGGUACCGGAAGAAUAAGCACCGGCUAACUACGUGCCAGCAGCCGCGGUAAUACGUAGGGUGCAAGCGUUAAUCGGAAUUACUGGGCGUAAAGCGUGCGCAGGCGGUUUGCUAAGACCGAUGUGAAAUCCCCGGGCUCAACCUGGGAACUGCAUUGGUGACUGGCAGGCUAGAGUACGGCAGAGGGGGGUAGAAUUCCACGUGUAGCAGUGAAAUGCGUAGAGAUGUGGAGGAAUACCGAUGGCGAAGGCAGCCCCCUGGGCCAAUACUGACGCUCAUGCACGAAAGCGUGGGGAGCAAACAGGAUUAGAUACCCUGGUAGUCCACGCCCUAAAACGAUGUCAACUAGUUGUUGGGGAUUCAUUUCCUUAGUAACGUAGCUAACGCGUGAAGUUGACCGCCUGGGGAGUACGGUCGCAAGAUUAAAACUCAAAGGAAUUGACGGGGUCAUAGCUGUUUCCU
rnacentral:rRNA from 1 species